UGCCCAGCAACUCCUAUCCCUACCUCAGCAUGGCACUGACCGGGCAGCGAGCCACCUUAUGGAAGAUCGGGUAAUCAAUCCCGGUGGAUCUUUGGUCGUAGGCUGACAGGGAAGG
rnacentral:ribozyme from 1 species